AGCUGGUCAUGGCGAGAGAGGACGAGAGGGCGGUCUACACCUGCCGUGUUUACCACUCCAGCUUGCCUGCUCCGGGUUACAAAGAUGUCCUGUACCACAUCAACACUCAAGGAACUCCUCCUAAUGUGAUGUUCAUCGACUGUGAACCUCUGUGUCCUCUGUUGAACGAAGAGUGUACACUGCACCUGUGCAUCAAAGACUUCUGUCCGGAGGAUGUGUCAGUCACUUGGACUAAAGAUGGAGACAAGGUUUCCUCUUUCAACACUCCCCCGAGCCUAAACAUCAACGGCCUCUACUCUAUGUUCAGUUUUCUCAAACUCACCCCUAGCAAGGACGACCAGGGCUCCAAGUUCAGUUGUCGGGUGGUUCACAGCGCCCAGAGGGAGCCUGAGGAGAGGCUCUUCACACUGACUGCAUCCCACAACCUGCAUCUGAUGGACAUCGGCUGAUGUUUUCACUGUGUAAACUCUUGUAUUUCAAUCUACAGUAGUUUGAUUUGUGAAGUUGGAAUGCCGAUCAGUCGAGGCAAACGAGU